rnacentral:rRNA from 1 species
UGGGGAAUAUUGCACAAUGGGGGAAACCCUGAUGCAGCGACGCCGCGUGCGCGAAGAAGGUCUUCGUAUCGUAAAGCUCCUUUUUAUGGGAAGAUAAUGACGGUACCUUAGGAGGAAGCCCCGUCUAAUUACCUGCCAGAUGCCGCGGUACUAUGUAGGGGGCAAGAGUCGUCCGGAAUCACUGGGCGAAACGGGUACGCAGGCGGAAAUGCAAGUCAGUUGUGAAAGGCAGAGGCUCAACCUCUGUAAGCAAUUGAAACUGAUAGACUUGAGUGGAGGAGAGGAAAGUGGAAUUCCUAGUGUAGCGGUGAAAUGCGUAGAUAUUAGAAGGAAUACCGGUGGCGAAGGAGACUUUCUGGACUGUUACUGACGCUCAGGUACGAAAGCGUGGGGAGCAAACAGG